GACAGAGGUCCCGAGCGUUAGGCGGAAUCACUGGGCUUAAAGCGUGUGUAGGCGGAUCGUUAAGUGCCUUGUGAAAUCCCAUGGCUUAACCAUGGAACUGCUUGGCAUACUGGCGGUCUUGAGCCACUUAGGGGCAACCGGAACAAAUGGUGGAGCGGUGAAAUGCGUAGAUAUCGGAAGGAACAUCAGUGGCGAAGGCGACUUCCUGGACCAAUACUGACGCUCAGGUGCGAAAGCGUGGGGAGCAAACAGG
rnacentral:rRNA from 1 species